UACGUAGGGUGCAAGCGUUGUCCGGAAUUAUUGGGCGUAAAGAGCUCGUAGGCGGUUUGUCGCGUCUGCUGUGAAAAUCCAGGGCUUAACCCUGGACCUGCAGUGGGUACGGGCAGACUAGAGUGCGGUAGGGGGAGAUCGGAAUUCCUGGUGUAGCGGUGAAAUGCGCAGAUAUCAGGAGGAACACCGGUGGCGAAGGCGGAUCUCGUGGGC
rnacentral:rRNA from 1 species